UAUGUCCUACGGGAGGCAGCAGUAGGGAAUUUUCGCCAAUGGGCGCAAGCCUGAACGAGCAAUGCCGCGUGAACGAGGAAGGUCUUCGGAUCGUAAAGUUCUGUUGAAGGGGAAAAAGAGCGGAGAGAGGAAAUGAACUCCGAUUGAUAUUACCCUUCGAGGAAGUCACGGCUAACUACGUGCCAGCAGCCGCGGUAAUACGUAGGUGGCGAGCGUUAUCCGGAAUGAUUGGGCGUAAAGGGUGCGUAGGCGGCCUGCUAAGUCUGGAGUGAAAGGUAACGGCUCAACCGGUACAGGCUCUGGAA
rnacentral:rRNA from 1 species